rnacentral:lncRNA from 1 species
AAAAAAUCCCAUGAGAGGAAGAAAAUAGUGUAGGGAAGAGGGAAAAAAAAGGAGAGAUAUUAGAUAGACUCUUUUGAGAGGUUUUUUUUUUAGUUUGUAAACUCUGUUGUAAAUUCUAUUAAAGUAGAAAUCGAAUUGUAGUGGAAAUAGAAUUGUUUUUCCUCUUAAUUCUAUUCUCAGGAUCAGAGAAUCACAACAAGUGUAUCAGAGCCAGGUUUAUCAAUUGGCCCUUGUAGUUUUUUUAUACAACUUCGUUUUUUUUAUAAAGCUUUUGCAAGCCAAGAUGUCAAUAGAGGAAUCUUCAUCAAGAGCUAUGAUCAAGCUCACUACCACCAAUUAUACAUUGUGGAGGCAUCGAAUGGAAGACCUCCUCAGUUGUAAGGAUUUGUAUGACCCCCUGGAAGCCAAAGGUGAAAACCCCGAUCCUACCAAGGAGGCAGAGUGGAAGAAGCUAAGUAAGAAAACUAUCGGUCAAAUUCGACAACGAAUUGACCAUAGUGCCUUUCACCAUGUGGCACAGGAGACAGAUGCAUAUGCCCUUUGGAAGAUUCUGGAGGACAUGUACCAAGCCAAGACCGCUCGGAACAAAACUCUGUUGAUGAGGCGUUUGGUAAAUCUGAAGUUAAAGAGCGUAACUUCAGUUGCUGAGUACACCAGUGAAAUUUAGAGCUUGGUAAACCAAUUGUCAUCUGUGGAGAUGCCGCUUGGGAAUGAAAUACAAGUCUUACUACUUUUAAGUUCUCUUCCUGAUAGUUAGGAGACAUUAGUAGUAUCUCUUAGCAACUCAGCCCCCGAUGGCAAACUUACCAUGUCUAUGGUCAAGGAUGCCCUAUUUAAUGAAGAGGCUAGGAGAAAAGACAUAGAAACGGACCAAUCACAUACCCUUGUCACAGUAAAUCGGGGAAGACAACAAGGAGGUCUUUGAGGCGGGGGAGAGAGGCAGAAGCAAAAGUAGGGGUAGAUCCAUAGAUGGAAGGAAACCUAUUUACAAGUGCUACUAUUGUGGUAUGGAGGGCCACUUGAAGAAGAACGGCAGAAAAUUACUACGAGAGCGAGGCCACAACAGUUCGCAGUCGAAAAAUAUGGAAAGGAAGACACUAGUCACUAUUUCUGGGGAGGUGACUAUCUGCUCCAUCCAUGAGGAGACAUGUCUUCAUGUCUCAAACUAAGAUAUUGAGUGGGUAACAGACACUGCAGCAUCUUACCACGCCACUCUACGCAGAGAUUUCUUCACAACAUACAAAGCUGGUGACUUUGUUGCGGUGAAGAUGGGAAAUACCAGUUCUUCUAAGAUCGUGGGAAUUGGUGAUGUUCAGAUAUAAACGAACCUUGGGUGUAAAAUAACCCUGAAGGAUGUUCGACGUGUACCUAAUCUUCGGCUAAAUCUACUUUUUGGGAUAACCCUUGACAAACAGGGCUAUGUCAAUCACUUUAGUAAUAGUACAUGGAAAAUGAUGAAAGGCUCCAUGGUUGUCGCUCGAGGACAUAUAUGUGGCACUUUAUACAAGACUCAUGUGAAAAUGCAUAUGGAUAGCCUCAACAUAGUAGAAUGUAAAGCUUCUCAAAAUUUGUGGCACCAGAGACUUGGUCACAUGAACGAGAAGAGAUUGUCUACUUUGACAAAGAAGAAGCUAAUCACCGUUGCCAAGGAAGCUAUGCUGGAUCCUUGCGGUCACUGUCUAUUUGGUAAGCAACAUAGAGUCUCCUUCAAUUUCUCUUCGACAAGAUGAUCAGAGUUGCUCAAUCUGAUACACUCUGAUGUUUGUGGUCCCUUGGAGGUUGAAUCGCUAGGCGAUAACAAAUAUUUUGUAACAUUCAUUGAUGAUGCUUCUCGAAAGGUAUGGGUAUAUUUCUUGAAGACAAAGGAUCAAGUAUUGGAUUACUUCAAAUCACUUCAUGCCAUGGUGAGUACACUUCCAAAGAGUUCGAUGCCUAUUGCAGAAGAUACGGUAUUCGACAUGAGAAGACGGUCCCACGUACCCCACAGCAUAAUGGAGUCGUCGAGAGGAUGAAUCGGACGAUCAUGGAAAAGGUCAGAAGCAUGAUAAGUAUGGCUAAGCUGCCAAAGCCAUUUUGGGGAGAAGUUGCUCGAACCGCCUACUGCUUGAUCAACAGGUCACCAUCAGUACCGUUGAAUUUUGAAAUUUCGGAGAAAGUAUGGUCUGGUAAAUAUCCCUCCUACUCUUACCUGAGAGUAUUUGGCUGUUUAGCCUUUGCACAUAUAUCCAAGGAGCUAAGACAAAAGCUAGAUGCAAGGACCACUCCAUGCAUCUUUAUAAGCUAUGGAGAUGAGAAAUUUGGAUGCAGAUUAUGGGACCCAAAGACAAAGAAGGUCAUCAGAAGCAGAGACGUAGUGUUCCACGAAAACUAGACAUUGGAGGACAUUGAAAAGCCCACAAUAUCUCCUAAUUCCAAUUUUG